rnacentral:rRNA from 1 species
ACAACGAAGAGUUUGAUCCUGGCUCAGGAUGAACGCUAGCGGCAGGCUUAACACAUGCAAGUCGAACGGUAACAGGUCUUCGGAUGCUGACGAGUGGCGCACGGGUGCGUAACGCGUAUGCAAUCUACCCUUUUCUGGAGAAUAGCCCUUGGAAACGAGGAAUAAUACUCCAUAGAAUAACGAUUUCGCAUGUUAUUGUUAUUAAAGCUUCGGCGGAAAAGGAUGAGCAUGCGUCCCAUUAGUUUGUUGGUGAGGUAAUGGCUCACCAAGACUACGAUGGGUAGGGGGCCUGAGAGGGUUAUCCCCCACACUGGUACUGAGACACGGACCAGACUCCUACGGGAGGCAGCAGUGAGGAAUAUUGACAAUGGAGGCAACUCUGAUCCAGCCAUCCCG